AAGGCACUAGUAAAACUUAAUUACAUUACUUUGUCAAGGUAAUAUUGUGGGUUAAAAUCCCGCGUGUCUUA
rnacentral:tRNA from 1 species